UCUUAAUUAUUUUUUCAUCUUUUCUUAUUUAAGAUUAACUUUCUUUGUCUGUUGGUUGGUUUUUCUUUGAGCUCUCUCUCUCUCUCUCUCUCUCUCUCUCUCUAAAGGCCAGAGAUGAUAUCUUGUUGACUCUUAUGAUAGAUACAAAUGUUCAAAACCUCUACUUUUUCUUUCUUAUUAUCUAUAUCGACUGCUUGUAGCCAUUUUUUUGAUCAUGUCAUCCUUUUCUUUGAGGUAAAGGCAAGAUUCAUUGAAACUGCUUAUAGGUCAGGAGUAGUGGCUUAUGCAUCGUGGUAGAUUCAUGUGAAUAUAUAGUUAAUUGUCUGCACAUUUGAUGUCAAAUUAGGAAUGGCAGCGUUAUUAUGAGAUGUGAGAAGUUCUGAAGUAGUGAUCUUGAUUUUAGGAUGUACAAAUGGUCGGCUCAGUUCUGAACCGAAUUAAAAUAAUUGAAACCAAAAUUUAUUAAAAAUUAUAACUGCAUCGAGUCAAAUCGAACUAUUUCAGUUCAAAGUUUGGUUACAUGAAUCGGUUCCUCCCAUCCCAAUCUUAUUCUCAGAAGUUUGUGUUAAAUCUUUUAUUCUCAAAAGUUAGAAUAUGAAUUUCUCUACCAUUUGUAGAAAAGAGAGAACACACAAGUUAGAAUCUCAAGUUCUCAGCCAUUUACAUCUCAAUUUCUUAGUUACAAUGUAUAUGUUGAGAGAAAGAAGAAGAAAGAAAAACACUUGAGAUAAAAUUAAUCAGAACAAUAACAUAUUGAAAUUGUCUAUUCUCCAUCUAUUCAAUUGCAAAUACAACUAAAUUUCACAAAUUGCAAAUAAAAAAUCACAAAUCUAAUUAUACACCCAAAUCAAUCCCAAAUGGCGACAUGGUCAGCAAGCAAGGGUAGAGGUGGAAGAUGCGACAAUAGUUGGUGGUGGACUGCGUCUGUGUUGAUGAAAUUAGUAAAUUACUAGACUCAGAUUUGAUGUCAUGCAGUCAUGGUGAAGCCAUCAGCGGCUGGCUGUCUUAAGAAGAAAGCAAGCUCCUUCAAUCUUCAUCAUCAAACCAAAAGGUCGACUAAAAAAUCACCUUGAGAAAGUGUUGACCAACAUAAUUCUGUCCUAAUUAGGCAGAUCACAACCCUCUUUAGGAAGAUCUCAUGGAUCCUAAUUAGGCUUAAUUGUAGACAUUUUAUUCUUUGCCUUUAGUGUAAAUAUUCCUAAUUAGAUGUGAUUCUUUGUAUAUAAAUAUCCAAAACUUAUAAAGAUCAAAUCAAUCGAAAUAGGAACUGAAAAUUUCUCCCAAAAUUCUUCAUGGUAUCAGAGUAUAUACCUGAUAUAGGAUUACAAUUCAAUUUUGAAUCUUCAAAACUCUAGGCAAUCAAAUUUGGUACUCUCCUACCUAGGCUUGUUUUUCUUCGACACUGCCACUUCUAGAAGACUCACCACCUCCUCAUUGGUAGUUACCCAUACUCCGACAUCAUUUUGUCGGCACGUGAUGCUGUUCCUGGUGAACUUUUUCCCGUCCGGUCAUUGCGGUCUCUUCCAACCUUCUGUUUCUGGCCUAUUUCUGCUGGUUCUUGUUGAGUUGGGUGUUGAUUGGGUAUUUCUUUUUGUUAGGCAGCCUCUCUUUCAUUAUUGUGCUUGCUUUGUUGCUGUUUUCUAACUUGUCAGACAAGAAAAUGGCUAGUGUGGAUAAUGUACGUACUUCGUACAAUGCUUUCAUUUCGUCUCUUGAUACUGCUUUAUGAAUUAUUGAUUUUAGAGCAAAUAGACACAUGACAAACUCUUCUAAAGGCUUCCUUAGUUAUCUUCUAUGUCUAAACAAGGAUAAUGUCAAAAUAGCAUAUGGUUCUGUCACUCCUGUUGGAUGUACUCCUAAUAUUAAACUAUCCUCUAUUCUUCACGUUCCUCAUUUCCCUAUUAAUUUUUUAUCUGUCAUUGCUCUUAUCAAAGCUCUUAACUAUAAAAUUGAAUUUUUUUUUUCUGACCAUUGUGUUAUUUAGAACCUUCAAAUCGGGACGAGGAUUGACAAUGAUAGACUGUAUGAUGGCUUAUAUAUAUUGAAAGAGAAUCCAGGUUCUAGUUCAUCUUAGGCUUUUGUUUGGAGAAAUAUGUUUUAGAAAAACUUUAUCCUAGUUUAUUUUUCAAAACUCAGUUUAGUUUUUUAUUUUGUUAUGCUUGUGAGUAUGUUAAGUAUACAAUACAAGAACCUCUUAUCCUUCAAGUAACAAAGGAGUAUGAUCUUUUUGUGACUAUUCACUUUGAUGUUGGGGAUCUACUCAGACCAUCUCGCUAUUUGGUAAUCACAAGUUUAUUACUUCAUUGAUUGUUGCACUCGUAUGACUUUGGGUUUAUUUGAUAAAGAUAAUGAGUGAAGUAUUUUUUUGCUUUCAAUCAUAUCACAAGAUGAUUUGUACUCAAUUUGAUGCUAAAAUAAAAGUUUUGAGAACUGAUAAUGGCACACAAUACAUGGAUAGUUAUUUUUUUGUUUAUAUGGAAUCUAAUGAGAUACUAUAUCAAAUUAGUUGUCUUUACACUAGUGUCCAAAAUAGUGUCCAAAAUAGUGUUGCUGAAAGAAAAAAUAAGCAAUUGUGGAAGUAGCUAGAUGUCUUUUUUCCACCAUGAAUCUUCCUAAACUGAUUGGAGAGAUGUAGUCUUAGCCGUAAUGUAUCUCAUUAAUAAAAUGUCUCUAAAAGGUUUUGCCUUUAAAAAAGCCUUAUAGAGGUGUUACAAGGAGAAAACAUUUAUACUAUUCCACCAAAAGUGUUUUGGGUGCAUGUGUUUUAUUCAUUUUAUGACAACUGGGAAAUUGGAUCGGAGGGCUCUUAAAUGUGUGUCGGGUACUCUCUCACAUAGAAGAGUUAAGUGUUACCAUCCCCCAUUUAGAAAAUAUUUUGUCAGUAUGGAUGUUACAUUUAAAGAAAUUGAACCUUACUUUAGCACCACCUAAUAAUCUCUUCAGGAGGAGAGCAAUGAGAGAAAAGAAAUGAUUCAUAGUUUUGUGACCGAAGAAUUUUACUCAGGAGGAGACUACUGUAUAAAGGACUACUAUUGGUCAGGGAGAGAUAAUUGGACAUUUGGACAAACCAAAUUUAAGGAGAUACUUAAAAAGAGAUAAAACAGAAGCAGAAAAAGCCAUUGUAUAGCUUACUCUGUGUCCAGAAUCUUCCUCUUCUCCAUCUGGUGAGUUAUCUCUAGCCCUUAAGUCUUUUGAUGAUCUAAAUAAACUAAUUGCUCAAGGAAAAAGAGUUAGGUCUUGCACUAAAUAUUUUAUUUCUAACUCUCUCUUAUGAUUCUCUUUCUCCAUCCUAUAGAGCCUGUGUCUUGUCUAUUUUCUCUAUAUCUAUUCCAUAUGAUUGAAAAGAAACUCUCAAAGAUUCUAAGUAGAAAGGAGCUAUGGUUGAAGAAAUGAAAGCCUUGGCUAAAAAUAAGGUUUGAGAGUUGGUAUCUGUUCCACCUGGAGAAAAACUAGUUAGCUGUAAGUGGGUGUUCGCUGUGAAACACAAAAUAGACGGGUCAAUUGAAAGAUUCAAGGUCAGACUAGUUGCCAAGGUACCCAAACCUAUAGAGUGGAUUACCAAGAGACAUUCACUCUUGUUGCCAAAAUGAAUUCAAUUAGACCAUUGCUAUCUUGCGCUGCCAAUCUUGAUUGAGACCUACAAUAAUUUAAUAUGAAAAAUGCAUUCCUCCAUGGAGACUUAGAGAAAGAAGUGUAUAUGGAAAUCCCUUCUGAAUUUGCUAACGAAGAUUCUGUAUAGGGUUAAAGUGGUCACCCAGAACUUAGUUUGACCAAUUCAGCAAAUCUAUGGUUUCUUUUUGCUAUCAACAGAGCAAUGUUGAUUAUACCCUGUUUAUCGGACCUCAUAGGGUAAAAUUACUUUUGUCAUAGUUUAUGUUAGGACAUGAUAAUGAUAGGAAAUGACAAAGAAGAGAUGAAUUGAUUGAAAAAGCUUCUGGCUUAGGAAUUCAAAAUUAAAGAUAUGGGAAAACUCCGGUAUUUUAUGAGAAUUGAGGUUGCUAGAUCAAAGAAGGGAAUCUUUAUCUCAAAAAAAAAAAAUACAUUAUGGAUUUCUUGAAAGAAAUUAGCAUGUUAGGUUGUAAACUAGUAGAAACUACUAUUGAGAGCAAUCACAAGUUACAAAAAGGGAUCGGUGAACUAGUAGACGUCGGCAGAUAUCAGAGAUUGGUAUGCAGAUUAAUUUAUCUUUCGCAUAUUUGACCAAAUAUCACAUAUACAGUUAGCUUAGUCAGUCAAUUUAUGUAUGUCUUUAGGAACCUCACAUGCAAGCUGUCUUUCGUAUUUUGUGAUACUCAAAGUCUGCCCCUGCAAAAAGUCUCUUGUUCUCCAAACAUGGUCAUCUUCGAAUAAAUGCAUUCACAUAUGCAAAUUGAACUGGAUCUCUUGAUAAUAAGAUGGCAACUAUUGGUUACUGUACACUCGUGGACACUUGGAGAAGUAAGAAGUAAAGUAUUGUUACUCGAUCAAGUGCUGAAACUGAGUAUAGGGCUAUGGUACAAGGUAUUUGCAAACUCCUGUUGUUGCAAAGAUUGUUUGAGGAGUUGAAAUUAUUGGAAAGGGACAAAUUGCUCUUGUAAUGUGACAAUAAAGCUGCCAUCAGUAUAGCCACCAACUAGCUGAUGUGUUUACCAAAGGACUCAACAAAAAGACCUAUUACACUUGGAUUUGAAAUGGGGUAAAAAUACCAGCAGCAAGAGUUGAAUUGAUAACCAUUAUGUCUCAAACAGCUGCUUCAUCUCUUUGCAAGAGAUGGCUAUUAUGUCUUAUUUAUCUGUCAAUUGGUAUAUAUCAGUUUGUUUUAUUGGUUUUUUCCCCCAUUACUGAACUGAACAGAAACUGAACUGAAAAAGUUCAAAAUUGAUUAGUUUGGUUGGUUUUUUCAGUUUGAAAUGAAUUUUGUCUGCUCUUAGUUGAUUUGCCUAAAAUUGUUGGGGAUGAGGCGAAGAUGAGUAAAGGUCAGUUUAAAGUCGUGGGCAGGAAUUAGGGGUGUGUGGUUUUGGUUUCGCUUUAGUAUAUUAAUAGGAAAGGGAACUGAGCCAAACUGAACUUUCAGUACCGUUCCAAUCGAUUCUUCCAUACUUUGGUUCCAGGUUAGUUCUGGAUAUUUAUGUUCUGGUUCAGUUCGGUCCAUUUUCCAAAGUAAUUUUAUGGAAUUGUUGUCAUGGAAAGUUGUACCUGGAUUACUAUUUAAUUUUUAAAGUUGGUUGCUAAUCUAUAAUACAUCAUAUAAUAUACUUUAACUUAUUUCUUAAUUGGAUAGGUUUUAAUAUUGAGGUGCAUAUAUAGCUAAUGCUUGAAACACAUUGUAUGAUAUAAUAUGCUGCUACACCUACACUUAUAACUAAGAAGUAUAAGGUGAUUUAAUGUAUUUAUAAUUAAAACUUUCAACGGAAGGUAGAUGAGUGAAAGGCAGCUAUUAGGUUGUCUAGUAAAUAAUCACAAUAUCGUGUGUGUGUGUGUGUGUGUGUGUGUGUGUGUAUGGAUAUACACAAUUGGAGUAUUGAGCAGUGUAGAUUCUAGGAACAACAUAUUCACAAGAUUAGCAUGUUGAAAUGAGGAUGGGAAGAGAAUGUGUGAAGAUACAGGCAUAAAGCAAAUGACGGAUGCAUUUGUAGGAAACUAGGAGUUGCACCGAUUAAGGAAAACUGGAUAGAAGGGAUGCUGAACCAAUUUGAGUAUGUGCAUCAUAGAAUUGAUUGAACUGGAGGAAGUGAACUGAUAUAGCCGACUCCUUUUGUAUUUUGGUAUUGUGGAAAACUUUAAAGGGGUUUGCUAGGGUGAACCCUUCUACAUCACGAGACGUGUGCUUGACCACCUUGCUACUGGCUUCAUGGCAUUGUAGAUGACUUCAACUAGUUUGGGAUAAUGCUUAGUGUAGCUUAAUUAUUGAAAGAAUGACAUGGAACUAUUAACAAGGAGA